CAGUCGAGCGAAUCGAUGGGAGCUUGCUCCCUGAGAUUAGCGGCGGACGGGUGAGUAACACGUGGGCAACCUGCCUAUAAGACUGGGAUAACUUCGGGAAACCGGAGCUAAUACCGGAUACGUUCUUUUCUCGCAUGAGAGAAGAUGGAAAGACGGUUUACGCUGUCACUUAUAGAUGGGCCCGCGGCGCAUUAGCUAGUUGGUGAGGUAAUGGCUCACCAAGGCGACGAUGCGUAGCCGACCUGAGAGGGUGAUCGGCCACACUGGGACUGAGACACGGCCCAGACUCCUACGGGAGGCAGCAGUAGGGAAUCUUCCGCAAUGGACGAAAGUCUGACGGAGCAACGCCGCGUGAACGAAGAAGGCCUUCGGGUCGUAAAGUUCUGUUGUUAGGGAAGAACAAGUACCAGAGUAACUGCUGGUACCUUGACGGUACCUAACCAGAAAGCCACGGCUAACUACGUGCCAGCAGCCGCGGUAAUACGUAGGUGGCAAGCGUU
rnacentral:rRNA from 2 species